rnacentral:tRNA from 1 species
GCCUUCUUAUCUCAGGUGGUAGAGCGUUCAACUCGUAAUGGAAAGGUCGCUAGCUCUGAAUCGAAUCUGGUGGGAGGCA